rnacentral:SRP_RNA from 1 species
CCGCACUAGACGGGGAGCCAGCGGUGCCCUGUAUCCGCAAUCCGCUCUAGCGGGGUUGAACUCCUCCCCUCGGCUUGGCCAACGGGCCUAUAUCUUGGCUGAUGAUAUUGAGGGCUGGGUCCUGCGCAAUGUAGACUUGUGAACCCCGCCAGAUCCGGAAGGAAGCAACGGUAAGCAGGAACCUGCGUGUGCCGCAGGAGUGCCUGGCCUGAGUCAUCUAUCAGGACAUGCUCAUUGGUCACUGACAACGGGAGGUGUGCGG